rnacentral:lncRNA from 1 species
AUCCUGAAUGAUAAUCGUGUCUUAAUAAUAAUAAAAGAAAGAAAAUAAGAGACAAGCAUCACGAUUUUCCCAAUUGAAAUGUCUUUUGGUUUUGCCUUUGGUGGCACAGGGUCAAGGGUGUGGGGGCAUUUGUGUGGCAUUCACUAUUCUUUCAACCUGUCCUGAUUAUGGAACCCUUUAAGGUCCGUCCACUUGGAACCACGGUGCUCUGAGAGGACGCUGAACUCACAGCAGCCCACACACAAUUCCAGUGAUACUACUGCAAUGUUUUGUACACAGAAUCUUAGGUUUGUUGGGUAAAUGUAGCAUCAUAUUUUGUUUUAGCAAUUUGUGAACAGUCUUGCUUCUCUUCACACUUAUAAGCUCAUCAGGCUAAGGAUUAAAUCGUAUGCACCCAAAUACCUCUUAGUAUACAAACGUCUGCACUCAGUAGCGUUUCUGGCUGAGCAGGUGGAAGAAGGGCCACGUUCGCCAAUGUCAUGAGGGGCCAGCAUCUUUAACCUUCACGCCCACAUCACCAGCCUUGCCUUCUUCACAACAGAAAUGUUGUCCCACUUCCUUUCCAGGUCUCUCAGAUUCAUGGUACGAGUUGGAAAGAGACCUGAGAGAUUAUUUAGGCUAAACGUUUCAUUUUAUAAAUGACAAAAUUAGGGUUGAGCAAAAUGUGGUGAUUUUGUCUGUGCAAAGCCAAGAAAAAAAAUUAGAGCCUCUUAAAAGUCAUUUUUCCCCUGAAAUAAAGUAUCUUCAUUUCACUGUUAAAUAUAUGUCCUCAUGUAGUUGCUAUAAUCAACCACUUCUCAAGAAAACUCUAAAAGCUGUAUUUCCCAUAUGACACAUUUCAGAAUAUUACAUAAGAAGCUCUCACCAAGACACCAAGGUAAAAUAUAUAUGACAAGCCAAAGACAGGUGCCAUAAAAAAAUAAGAAAUCUUCAAAGGGGAAAGAAAUUCCAAAAGUGGCAACAUGACACCACUCAUUCUCUGCCUACUUUCGAGGUAAGACGAUGUUGAAGUUCUGAGGGGGCUCAGUAAAUAACACCUCUCUUCCCCCUCCAGGUCCUGCACAAAUUGAAAACAUAAAAGGUAGCAGAUGGACUCAAAUGCCACCUUCAUGACUGAGGUGCCAAGCUGGAGGGCAGGAGUUGCCCUCUGGUCCUGGUUUAGGCUGACCUUCUGAACGGGGCCUGAGGGCAGGACCACACGGGCAGGGAUCAGAAAGGAGCUGGAGGAGAGCUCAGAAGGGAGGGCGGGCCCAGCUCUCUUGGCGGCCAAGGAAAAAGCCUGGCAUGUUAGAGCUGGUGCAGGACUCUCCAGGGUGACCGAGCCACCCAGAAGAGGGAAAAGCCAUUCUCCAUAACAAAAAGUCAGGACCGGCUGAAAGCCCCUCCCAGCCCUCCACCCUCCUUCGGCGGGGCUUCUUUCUGAGCUUUGCCCCAUCCCUGCCCCGUGCUGGUGACUGGUGUUUGGCUCCCUCCUAGAGAAAGAGAUGGGCCUGGGUUGGUUGAGAGAGAAAGAGAGAGAAAGGGAGAGACAGAGAGAAGGCUUAGCUCUUGUCCAACAGGGCCACCUAGAGGGACUCUCAGGCUUGAGCGGGAGAAGCAGAGUUUUGAGGCAGAGCUGAUCAAGGGAACCUCAACAAACAACCCCAGCCAUGGAGGCGGCGGUGUCUUUGAAGACCCCAUGAGAGCAUCAAACAAGGGAGAGAGCCUGGAACAAAUCAUGGUAGUAAAAUGGCGGCAGAGAGCUAGUAAUGUGUCUGCAAUUGGUGGGUUCUUGGUCGCACUGACUUCAAGAAUGAAGCCGCGGACCCUCACGGCUACUCCUGACUGACCAUCACAUAAAAGAAUACAAAACAAUCUGAAAGUCAACCAAGGAAAUAGUAAUCAAGAAUAAUUCUGAAUAGACGUAAUUUCUACUUUAUGCAUGACUGUAAACCUUAACUUCACUGAACUAGACCAGGGAAUUGGCUUUCGCAUUGCUUGUUGGGCUUUUAAACCAGUGAAUGGAAAGAAUAAAAAGUUUUCUCCACACAACUUCUCGGAAGAGAUCUGCCCUGUGAUCUGCAAUGUCCUGACGUUCAAACUUCUAAGUCAUCUGUGGAGACCGCUCAACUGAUUCCAAGUGGAAGUACUAAGACUGUCAUUUCAGGUAUGACAGCUCCUCUCCCAACAGCUCUACUUUCUACAUCUACUCUCUACCACCACAAAACUUCUUUCAGUUCCAUGAAAGGGCCAUGUUUUUCUGGUCUCUUGGCCUAGGAGCAUGUUGUUCUUCUGCCAGCAACCUUCUUCAACCAUCUCCACAGGAUGACUCCUCUAUUGGAUACUUCCAUGAAAAGUCCAGGCCUGGGUUAUGUACCCUUCCCAAAGUGCACCCCAGACACCCAACAGUUUUUCCAGCCCAGACUCACCACACUGUGUGGUAAUUUCCUGAUCACUCAGUUGUGCUCCCCACAGACUAUAAGCUCUAUGAGGGCAGGGGCCACAGUUUGCUUGUUCACUACUAUAUGCUCAGUACCUGGUAAAUAUUAGUUGACUGAAGAAUGACUAUGUGGUAAUCUAUUCCAUUGGUGGCCUCCAGUGAACCAUGUCUUCUGGUAUUUACAUCUUGUGUGGUCCCCUCCAUUAAAUUUGGGCUUUAACCAACAGAAUGCUGCAGAAGCGACACCCUGCCACUUGUGCUUUUGUGAUCCUAGCCACCAGUAAGAAGCCCUGUGACCUUGCUGAGACCCUGAAGAGACCACAUAGAGAGGCCACUUGAAGGGCAAGGGGUCCUGACUCUACAUGGAGAGAGAAGCCCAGCCAUCCCUGUUUCCCAGCUGAGUCCUGACCAGAUAACUCACUACAAGACUGACCACAGGCAAGAACAGCAGAAGAGCUGCCCAGCUGAGCCCAUCCAAGAGUGCAGAAUUUCAAGCAAGUAAAAUGACUAAUGUUGUAAGCCACUAAAAUUCUAGGGUGGUUCUUACAUAGCAAUAUGUAACUGUGAUAAACUAAAUAAAUGAAUAAAAGGGAAUGAAGAAUUACUUCACAGAAUAAGUUUCAUGCAAAGACAUCUCAAUGUCUCUAAGAAACACUUCUAAGGAAGAGCAGAGUCAAGAAAAUAGCAACAGAACUAACAGGAAAUAGAGGAACUCAUACCACCAGCUUCCAUUUACAUUACAUCACAUUUUUCCUCUGUCAGUUUCUUUGGUUUUAAGAUAUUCUCCAAUGAAAAGAUAUUCCUACUCUUUUGUGAAAAAGAGAUUCUAGGUUUGACAUUAAAGUUAAGAAGUCCAACCAAGGAGGGGAUGUGAACACUAACACACAAAUGGAAACUGCUUAGAAUCCCAUGGCCAACCUAUCCCUGCUGUUCUAUUUCCUCUUACUUGCCAGCAGAGCAGAUCUACAGCUGUGGAUGAGGGCAUAGAGGCUGCUGUGCUCAGGGGAAACUGGAAUACUAUGGAGACUCCUGGCUUAACUGGGCACCAAAUGUUCAGUUCAGUGUGAAAAAUACCAUCCAAAGAUCAGAAUGGUUAAUUUUUAUACAGACAGUUAAUGACUUGUCAGUGAACUAGUAAAAACAAAAUAGACAGCUACUCAGUGCCUUUAACCCAGGCAUCCAAUCAGUUACACUAUACACAUAUGCACAUACACCCCCUAGAGACAGCUGAUACACACUGUUACAUAAUCCAGAAUAUUUUCUGGCUAGACUAUAUUUUGAAUCCUAAAUAUUAGCUAGCAACAUUAGCAUGCACAUCUCAGAAUGAGAAGACAGACUGCUACAUUUAUACUGGCUUGAUGGAAUCUUGGAUUGCUACUUCUAAUAAUUGCUUUUCUUCCUGAAAGAAAAAAAUCAUUAUGUAAGAACUAUGGCCUAAGCGAAGUAUCUGUCUUUUGUAAAAAACCAUAAAACAAAAUGCCAAGAAUAUUUUCUAACGUAUUAUACUGGACUAAUGCUUUGAAAUUUCUGAAUGAUGUUUAGUAGGUAAAAUUAUCAAUGUAUGUCUAGAAUAGCAUGCCUCUUAAACCUACCUCCAAUUAAUAAAUUUUAUGUGAUAGAUAUUUAAAGUAAAGAAGUGAAUUCAGGAACAAGCCAGCGGCUUGAAUGCUGCAUGCUUGGGAAGGGAAAAAUCAGCUCCCAGGGUUUU